UUCGUCCCUCACUCAUUUGUUCAAGCCUCGGUACAUCGAGAAAGAUUGUUCUGCUACGAUUGAACGAUCUGUAGAAGUAGCGAAAAGUCCUUAGGAGGAUGGAGAGGUCUACAAACUGGUUUGCGUGGGUCAGCCGAGGAAACGCAGGGUUUCUCUGCUUCAAGAACCUUAAAGCCUGGACUUAGCUGGAAGGCCUGACUGUUUUGGGUAGUAAAGUGAUUUCAG